UGAUCCUCAUAUUGUAGUUUUGGAACAUAAUGUGUGGCAUAUCUAGAUCUAUAGGUGAUGUAUAUCUAAAAAAAGUAGAGUUCAAUAGGGAACCAUUAUAUGCUAAAUUUCGGCUUUGUGACCCUAUAAGGAAGUCCGAUAUUGAGCGCAGACCCAUCAGUCUCGAUGCAUGAAAUCCUGCCAGAAGAUCGGUUUGUUAUAUUUGCGUCUGACGGUCUUUGGGAGCACCUUAGCAAUCAGGAAGCUGUUGAUAUAGUGCAAAAUCACCCUAAUAAUGCGAAAGCUGGGGCUGGUUCGGCAACAUUAUCAAUGGUAUGGAAGAAAUAUACCAACUUGGACCUUUGAAUGAGUAUGAAAGUGUUUUGGUUUGGAAGAAGCUUAAAAAGAGUUGGAAGGAAGCAUUGAGAAAGGAGUUUCUUUCAUAAGGAAAUGAAAGGGUGUGAGGGUGAAGUGGUAUACAUGUGUUGAUUCUCUUAUCAUGGCUUUGUUUAUGACUUCAUGUUCCUUAUAAUGUACCCAAUCAAGUAGUACCUUAAAUAGAUCUAUCAGAAUACUUAUUUAUACUAUGCUAAUCUUAUUACAUCCAUGGUUUUAGAACUUUUAUUGAAGGUGUACCACACAAUGUUUUUUAAAUUAACAAUAUGAAAUAUAAAUAAUACAUUCUUUAACUCCAUAUAGAAGCGACAAUCCCUAAUUAAUGAUGUGUGACAAACCA
rnacentral:lncRNA from 1 species